ACUGAGGGUCUAAGUCCGGGCAGCCGAAGAGUGUGGUAGGUAACGGUCCUCAGCGCAAGGGUCAUUUCGUCGCUGGGAAGGGACGGCCCUCGCCCGCGGUGAUGGUGGUUAGCAAGAUGAACAAAGAUGCGCAGAUGAGAGCAGCGAUUAACCAAAAGUUGAUAGAAACUGGAGAAAGAGAACGCCCUGGUACCUGACAGUGUAAAGAAGGAGCUCCUACAAAGAAUAAGAACAUUCCUUGCUCAGCAUGCCAGCCUUUAAGAUUGAAUUAGAUUGUGUUGUUGUGGUUUUAUUUCUGAAAGUAAAACUUGCCAUAAAUUAGAAAACAAUUUCCCAAAAUAAAAUCCUUUUUUGUAUGAUGGUAUACAGUUUUCAGUAAUGAUGUAUACAUUGUAUUGAUUUUUUUCCCUAAAUGUGUUAUUUUAAUAAAUAUCUCAUGAAUGAG
rnacentral:lncRNA from 1 species